GGAGUGAUGGCCGAGCGGUUUAAGGCGCACGCCUGCUAAGCGUGAGGGUGGAAACGCCCACCAGGGUUCGAAUCCCUGUCACUCCGCCA
rnacentral:tRNA from 1 species